UGUUAUUUGAGGAUGAAAAUUCAGGCUAAUUGUCUGCCAGGGCACUACGAACACAUGUUUAGAACUCAAAGAACUUGGCGGUGCUUUAGCCAGCUAGGGGAACCUGUUCUUUAAUUCGAUAGUCCACGAAAAUCUUACCUAUUUUAGUUAUCAGUUUGUAUACCGUCGUCGGAAGCUAGCACCAAAAGGGGUUAGAAGCUAGCAAAAAAGAUUUUUCUCUUAGAAGUCAGAUCAAGGUACAGCUUAUAAGUAGGGAGGAGAUGGGUUACAAUUAAUAAUUUCUAUUGGAGUGCUGAUGAAAUUUAGUUGAUGUAAAGAGGACUUAGAAGUAAUUUCUUAGUUAAAAUUAAGAAGUGAAAUAGGCUCUANAGCGUGUACAAAUCG
rnacentral:rRNA from 1 species